UUUUUCUUUUCUUGGGUUUCGAUUGCUUUUCAACGUUUCUUUCUUUUGGUGUGAGAGAGAGAGAGAGAGAGAGAGAGAGAGAGAGAGAGGCCAUCACCCACGCGAUUGUGCAGCAAGCAUCGACUGAACGUGCAAGGCGUACCAGACCCUGCUGUGGAGGGCCAGUGUGCAGAGGUGGGCAAGGAAACGUAUGCCUGAGGAUUCAAGGGGAGCCACAGGACUACCGUCCAGGGUGAGGAGGACGAGAGAGACCAAGCAGUCAAGGCUUUCUACGAAAGGAGCAUCAAGGGCACGAACCUACGCAGCCCUGGAAGGAGAGCAGGGAGUCACGGACAUAUGGAUCAUCGAAGGCCAGUCCCAACGGGCAGCCUUCAUCACGUGUCCUCACCUGAGGACUUGCAACGAGGCACCCCCAGACUGGACCUGGUAGAAACAGGACUUACAGCAAAAGCACAAGACUUGUCUGUGGACUUCAUGGUCAUGGGAAGGACACCAUCCCACAAGCCCCACCAAGGGACUCUGGACUCUGGUGACUUGGACUUACUGUGUACCAUCAGGACCUGUCAGGACUCUUUCAAGUGCACAAGGGGAAGAGAAAACUAAGCCACAAACCUAGGAGAAGAGAGAUGCAAAACCUUUCUCCCCCCAGGGCCAAAGUCAAUGAUCUCAUGCUAUACAGAUGCAAAUGACCUCUGCUAGCAUUCCAAAGGUCACCAGUUUUCAGCCUCAUUUAUCAGUCUCCUACCACAAGGGCAUUAGGGUUCCAUUGGCUCCAUAGGGACCAUUUGCCUGCAUUCUCCGUGGGAGCAGCUUCCUAUCCUACCAGAACCCUCACGUGUGUCUCCCUGUCAUGGCACGUACGGAUAGAUACGAGAAUGACGUUUCCCUUUCAUUUGGAACAUUUGAAAGAAACAAAGAACCUCAAAUGAUACCACUAAAGGAACACCGUCGAGUUCAUUACUACAGCGAAUGAAUGGCUGUGCCCAUGGCCAGCACCUGCCCUGGGCAACGUUCUAUUUCCUAGUUGUUCAUGUUUCUUCACUCUGGAGACACAGGGAGCUAGAGAGCAAGCCGGCAAGCCAGUGACCGCCAGUGGGGGAGGGGCAGAGUAGCAGAGAGCCAGACACACAGAAUCUGAAAACAGGCUCCAGGGCCUGAGCUGUGGGCACAGAGCCCAGCGCAGGCCUGGAACUCAGGAACCGCGAGGGCGUGACCUGAGCCCAAGUCGGAAGCUCAACCCACUGAACCACCCAGGCGCCCGGGGAAGGUUCCAUUCAGGAGUCCACUCCAUCCAUCCCCGCCCAUUUCCGCAAGGUCAGAGCCCUUACGACA